rnacentral:ncRNA from 1 species
AAACAGACACGUUUGGUCCUAGCCUUUCUAUUAACUCUAGUAAGAUUACAUGUGCAAGUAUCCCCACUCCGGUGAAAUCAUCCUCUAAAUCGCUAUGAUCAAAAGGAGUAAGUAUCAAGCACGCAUUAAUGCAGCUCAAAACACUUUGCUCAGCCACAUCCCCACGGGAAACAGCAGUGAUAAACCUUUAGCAACAAACAAAAGUUUAAGCUAUACUACACUUAGGGUUGGUUAAUUUCGUGCCAGCCACCGCAGCCAUAUGAUUAACUCGAGCUAAUAGAGACCGGCGUAAAGAGUGUUUUAGAAUUACUCUCAAUAAAGCUAAAUUUCAUCUCAAUUGUAAAAAAUCCUAGCUGAUAUAAAAUAAACUACGAAAGUGGCUUUAAUAUCUCUGAACACACAAUAGCUAAGAUCCAAACUGGGAUUAGAUACCCCGCUAUGCUUAGUCCUAAACUUCAGUAGUUAAAUUAACAAAACUACUUGCCAGAAUACUACAAGCAAUAGCUUAAAACUCAAAGGACCUGGCGGUGCUUCACAUCCCUCUAGAGGAGCCUAUUCUAUAACCGAUAAACCCCAAUCCACCUCACCACCUCUUGCUCAGCCUAUAUACCGCCAUCUUCAGCAAACCCUAGUAAAGGCCACAGAGUAAGCACAAAUACACACAUAAAAAAGUUAGGUCAAGGUGUAGCCCAUGAGAUGGUAAGAAAUGGGCUACAUUUUCCACCCCAGAAAAUUUCACAAUAGCCCUUAUGAAAUCUAAGGGCAAAAGGAGGAUUUAACAGUAAAUUAAGAGCAGAGUGCUUAAUUGAAUAAGGCCAUAAAGCACGCACACACCGCCUGUCACCCUCCUCAAGUAUAUUUAAAGAUUAACUUAACUAAAUUCCCUUUGUAUUUAUAUAGAGGCGACAAGUCGUAACAUGGUAAGUGUACUGGAAAGUGCACUUGGAUGAAUCAAGGU